rnacentral:rRNA from 1 species
CGCUGAACUUAAGCAUAUCAAUAAGCGGAGGAAAAGAAACUAACAAGGAUUCCCCUAGUAACGGCGAGUGAAGCGGGAAGAGCUCAAGCUUAAAAUCUCCGUGCAGGUUCUGCUCGGCGAAUUGUAGUCUAUGGAUGCGUUAUCAGUGUGGCCGGUCGGGGUAAGUUCCUUGGAAGAGGACAGCAUCGAGGGUGAUACUCCCGUUUGUACCUGACUGUGUUGCGCGUACGAUGCGUGUUCUUUGAGUCGCGUUGUUUGGGAAUGCAGCGCAAAGUAGGUGGUAAAUUCCAUCUAAAGCUAAAUAUUGGUGCGAGACCGAUAGCGAACAAGUACCGUGAGGGAAAGAUGAAAAGAACUUUGAAAAGAGAGUUAAAGAGUACCUGAAACUGCUGAAAGGGAACCGGGUCGUUGCCAGUGUCUAUAAUCCUUGGCAUAUUUCAUUGGUGCGAGUGUCUGUUCCGCGUGCGUGUAUCAGUUUGUUCUGUGCUGCGCGUGGUUGUGGGUGCUUGUGCCGGUGCCCUGUGCUUUGGUGGGACGUCAGAGUCAGUUCGUAUGCUGCGGGAAAUGGUCGUGCAGGAGGUAGGUCGGGGGCUUGCUCUCGGCUGUUAUAUCUGUGCGUGCCAGUAGUCGUGGCUGGGACUGAGGUGCCUACAACGUGCUUUUGAGUCUUUGGGUCGCUCUGUGCGCGCGCGUGCGGGAUAGCUUGCUAUGCCGUGUGCGUUUUGCGUGUGGAUGGCGUGCUCUCUGCAACUUGUUGCCGUUCGGGACUUUGACGAAAUGGCGCGAUCCGACCCGUCUUGAAACACGGACCAAGGAGUCUAACAUGUGUGCAAGUGUUGGGGUGUGGAAACCCAAGCGCGAAAUGAAAGUAAAGGGCAGCGUUGGUUGUCUGAGGUAGGAAACCUUUGUCUUCGGGCGUGGGUGGCACUAUCGACCGAUCAUGAACCUUCGUGGUGAAAGAUUUGAGUAUGAGCACAUAUGUUGGUACCCGAAAGAUGGUGAACUAUGCCUGAGUAGGGUGAAGCCAGGGGAAACUCUGGUGGAAGCUCGUAGCGAUUCUGACGUGCAAAUCGAUCGUCAAACUUGGGUAUAGGGGCGAAAGACUAAUCGAACCAUCUAGUAGCUGGUUCCCUCCGAAAUUUCCCUCAGGAUAGCAGCAACUUAUUUACGAUAGUUUUAUGAGGUAAAGCGAAUGAUUAGAGGACUCGGGGAAGAAACUUCCUUGACCUAUUCUCAAACUUUAAAUCUGUAAGACCUGCAGGUUUCUUAAUUGAACUUGCGGAUGUGAAUAUCAAGUUGCUAGUGGGCCAUACGGGGUAAGCUCGUCUGGCG